rnacentral:tRNA from 1 species
CAGGUUAUCUUAUAAGUUAAGGAUUUCAUUUACAUUGAAAUUUAUGUCGUGCAAUUCGAUAUAACUUGA